CCCUUAGAUGUUCUGGGCCGCACGCGCGCUACACUGGUGCGUUCAACAAGUUUACAACCUUGAUUGACAAGUCUGGGUAAUCUUUUGAAUGCGCACCGUGCUAGGGAUAGAUUAUUGCAAUUAUUAAUCUUGAACGAGGAAUUCCUAGUAAACGCAAGUCAUCAGCUUGCAUUGAUUACGUCCCUGCCCUUUGUACACACCGCCCGUCGCUCCUACCGAUUGAAUGGUCCGGUGAAGCGUUCGGACCGUGGCCUUUGGACGGUUCGCCGUCUGUUGGCUGCGGGAAGUUCGUUAAACCUUAUCAUUUAGAGGAAGGAGAAGUCGUAACA
rnacentral:rRNA from 1 species